rnacentral:rRNA from 1 species
UACGGGGGGGGCAAGCGUUGUUCGGAAUUACUGGGCGUAAAGGGCCAGUAGGCGGCCAACUAAGUCGGAUGUGAAAUCCCCAGGCUUAACCUGGGAACUGCAUCCGAUACUGGAUGGCUUGAAUUCGGGAGAGGGAUGCGGAAUUCCAGGUGUAGCGGUGAAAUGCGUAGAUAUCUGGAGGAACACCGGUGGCGAAGGCGGCAUCCUGGACCGAGAUUGACGCUGAGGCGCGAAAGCCAGGGGAGCAAACAGG